CUUGAACUCAAGACCUUAGCUCCGAUACCAUGUUAAGCUUCAUGCACUAGCCAACGCAACCAAAAGUCCGAACUGAUAGAAAGGGCUAGUCAAUCCACAUAUAGUGUAACAGAGUCCACAUUUCGUCCUAACACUUUAAACUGCUUGUUUUUCCUUCCCCGCGAGUAUAGCAUGAUGAGCCCAGGUUGCCCUGAGCUUUUAAACAGUCCACUUUACACCCUUAUCUGAUUUUAGGGCAUCUCCAACAGCGUACCCCAAUCCGCCCCCAAAAAGUCCAGACAUGCUCCCCCACAUGAUUUUUGCCGCCAUCCAGCACCGUCUCGCAAAUGUCCGCGUCCGGAUUCCUCCAAACCGGGCGGAGGUUUGCAGGUGUCUGGACGUUCCUUUUGUACGCAUCCGAUUGUGCGGCCCAACCCGAAGUCGUCGCCGUGUGUCUUGCCUGCGAACGUUCUUCGUACAUUCAUGCUGCUCUAGAGCGGACGUGACCUGACGCUGCCGGUCAGACCGACAUGACCGGAUGGGAGGGCUGCACCGCUUCAAUGUUGACGCAUGACGAUUGAGAAGUCUACUCCGGUCGCUGAGCCGCAUUGAAGCGGCGUCGGUCCGCCUGCCGGAUCAUGGCGGUUGGUUCUCGGCGUCGGUUGGUGGAUCUCCCUCCGGAUCGUGGCGCCGCUGCACGGUCUCCCAUGGUUGUCAUCGUUCACCGCGACGUCGACGAAGCAGCAACAGCCGUCCCUCAUCGCGGAGGCCACCUCGAUGGUCUAGGAGUGCCAGGUGUAGCUGGAGGUCCAGCUCGAGGGUGCCGCCCUCACCGUCACGUCAAGUAGAAGAAGCCACGCAAUUGCGGCAUCCAAUGAAGGAGCCAUUGUCGUCGCUGCGCAACAUGUUUGGCUGCUUCCAGCUGGGGUCCCCGUUAUUCCAUUUCUGGCGCGGCAAGGAGAGGUGGUGGCGCCCGAUGAAGGAAGAGCUCGGCAACACCGUUGCCAACAUGCGCGAUCGCAUCCCCCACUACUUCGGACGCGGCGGCGGCUCCUCGUCCUCGUGCACAUACAGAGCGGCUGCCAAGCAGGCGCGGCAGGCGGCGUUCGCCACGUCCGACGUCGCGCCGGACUGGGUCAUAUGAACCCAAACCUUGUGUUGGCCUUGACCAAGGAUCGGUCUAGGACCGCCGUGGAAAUGUCCGCCCGAUGCCGCCUCAGUGACCAGCCAAUCAAAGGCUUAGCGGGUACCUGCGUGCUGCCUGUCUCCUCUAUGGCAAAGCCAAGGCCAGGGGUGGGCGGACUGUGGCAGGUCCAUGACCGAUGGUAGGCGUUCGCCACGUCCAACGUCGCGCCGGACUGGGUCCUAUGAACCCGAACCUUGUGUUGGCCUUGGCCAAGGAUCGGUCUAGGACCGCCGUGGAAAUGUCCGCCCGAUGCCGCCUCAGUGACCAGCCAAUCAAAGGCUUAGCGGGUACCUGCGUGCUGCCUGUCUCCUCUAUGGCAAAGCCAAGGCCAGGGGUGGGCGGACUGUGGCAGGUCCGUGACCGAUGGUACCCUGCACCAGGCGGCAGAAGAACGCGAUCUCCGUUUUUUUUGGUUUGGUUUCUUGUGUUUACAAUUAUUUUGUUUAAGGUAAUUCAAAGUAGGGGCGAACAUUUGGUUCUCCGGUUUUUUUGGUUUGGUUUCUUGUGUUUACAAUUAUUUUGUUUAUUUUAACCAACAGCCAAAUUUGCCUGUCAGUUAUUGGGAGCCAAAAGUUUGGUUAACCGAACACUUUGGUUUGGUUUUUUGUUAGACCAAAAUGACUAAAUAAGAUUAAGAAAUGAGAGGAGAAUAUGGCAUCACAGCAGCUUGCUUUAUCUCAUAAAA